CUCCCCUGCAACACAUUAGCAUUUAACAUGAACAAAGGAUCAUCAUAUGAAUUCUUUUUUAUCUCCCAUAUCCAGGACCCCAUGAUAAGCGUUUUUGUACAGCGUUAAGCCUUAAACACACCCACGUGACAAAAGUCACAUCUUCGAUGUCAACGUGCAACCGCAUUUCUUUCUAACAAAUAUCGGUCAACUCGUAGAAACCUAUUUAUCUUCUUUACAUAAACCGCAUCAAUUUUCAACCACUACCGCAGCAAUCGAUCAGCUGCGGUCACCGUACAACGCGUAGGUCGUAGGUAUGAGAGAAAGAACUAGUAAAAAAAAAAAAAAAAGAAAGAAUAGAAAUGGAAGUGUGGAAAUGGGAAAUCAUCGCAUUGUAUGCACGUGUUUAUGCGUGGGUAUAUACUCGCAGUCGACGUUAUCUGCGAGUUAAGGUCAAAAAUAAUCUAAAGGGAUUAUGCGAAGAAAAUCGAGACGACGAACCAAUCGAUUAAAUUAACGUAACGAACGUGGUUAUCGAAAGUGUGCCUACGGAUUUCGAACUAUCGAAAUGGUCGGACAAGAUUAUGACCAUCGAUGAACUCGAAGCAGAGUCAGUGGAGUCUAAUAUAGAAGCGGGUUAGUCCGCUACCAAACGCUCCCCGCAUUAAGGUAUAUGUUAAUAUUACUGAUUUUCCAUUCGACUGUACCAACCGACGGUUGAACUCACUGGCGUGAAUCCAAGCCAGAGUGACGUCGUUUCACGAAGCGAGUUUGAAUCUUUGCAAGAGAGAAAGAGAGAUACCAACGAGAGAUGGAUGUGAGAACCGUGAGAGGAUGAAUCUUCGUUCAGUAUUCAUAUUCGAUAUCCUUACACGAUAAACUUAUGUCCGGAAAUAAAUUAUCUUAAAGAAAGGAAGAAAAAGGGAAAGAGAGAGAUCUAACAGGAAUCGAAUUUCCUUAGGCUCGGAGACGAUUUCCAGGACACCCUAUAGGAACGGUCAGACGAGCGAGCGUGUUUGCGAGCGUACACAUAAACGUUGAGAAGGCAUAUACUGCACCGAAAGUGGUUGACCCUGAGAGAGCCAGGCACAAAGGACUGAUUCACCCCGCGGAGUCCUCCGAGAAAAGAACCGACCGUUUACCCGGCUUCAUUUUUAAACUUAUCUAAUCUUACGAAGAAAGAUACUCGUUGAUAAUCCUACAAGAUAAAUCUCCGAUCGCUGAAAUAAAGGAAAAAGAAGAUAAAGAUUGAAAGGAAUGUUAAUUGCAUAGAUAACUCCUCUAAUUAUUAGAGCAUGCAAUUUUCUAUGACAAUAUUAAUGACAAUAUUAAUAAGGAAAAAGUUUGUGGUAUCGUUUUAAGAUUAAUCGUCCUAUGUUUUAUUAUUAUUAUUAUUAUUAUUAUUAUUAUUAUUAUUAUUAUUAUUAUUAUAAAGGAUUAUGUUUCAUAUACAAUUUGUUUUACAGAGAAAUAACGAAAAGAACUUAGUCGAUAAUGGCCUCACAAUUAUGCACUCUACUCGAUGGCAUGUAGGAUUUAUUACUAUGAUAAAAAGAAAAAGAACAACGAUCUUAUAGGACACGCCUUGCUAGAAGAUUCCAAAGAUUCCAUCAACGAUGAAAAGUCGACAUCCUCGAGAGUGAUGUAACGAUCGUAAUGAAAGAACGUGUGAAAGCAUUAUGACACUCGCAUCUAUACACAAACAUACAGGCUCAAAUAUGUCCUCUCGUUGACUGCACGAGAAAACCAUUGUACCGUGUGCAAUUGUACUUAGACACCGUGGGUUUUGAUCCCUCCUACCGAUAAUCUGAAAGAAAGGAAGUCAAGAAAUAACAAGCUAGGAAAACGAUUUUUGUGGAUCCAUGCUCGAUAUUAUAACUGUUUCUUUGUAUAAAUGCUUUCGUAUUUUCGACUUUGAGUUAAAUUAUUGCAUGGAUUUAAUACGUCAAAUUUGAUAGUAUUUUUAAAUAGUAUAAGCAAUGUCUCUUUUUUAAGAACUAUCAGUAGGAAUGCUGAUGUGUAAUUUGUGUUUUAUUUAUUAAUCUUCUUAUUUCGUAUAUUAAUAGUGUAUCAGUGUUUGCAUAUGGUAUUGCUUGUUAAUCUUAUUCAAUUAUAAAAAUAAAUUAGAUGAACUAAAUUGUGCAAAAUUUAACACAUAUUAGUUUAUCUAUCUUAAUAGAAAAUAAUUUAAAGCUAUUAAUUAUUCAGUUUAUACAGUUAGGCAAAGUAUAAAUAGAUACUCAUAUGCUUUCAUUAUACACUUUAGAUAAAGAUAAAAGAAUGUUAAACAAAUCUUGCAAAUUAUUCAAGUAAGACUUAUACUCGAGUCGUUU